UCACAUAUUUCUGUUAAUUUUUAGCAACACCCAUAAACAGAAUACUGGCUAAAGCUUGAUUUUGAGCAGAGGUCAAUGGCCAAAGAAGAGAACAUCCUUUAUUUCCUACGUAUGCAGGAGUGCCUGAAUCUAAAGGUUUCAGAUGUGAAAAAUGAAAAAAGAGCUGCCUCUGGAAAGGGUCAAAGCCUCAAAGACUUACAGUUUUCAGGUUGAGAAACAACCCUUUGAAAUGAAAACAGAGCUUUCCUCAGCCAGUGACGGAUGUGCCAUGACUGAAUUAGUAAAGGGCAAACAUCACACAGUGAGCACAAAACCAAGGGCGGUCACGUUGCAGCAACACAGCCAGAGCAGGAGCUCCAGUUGAAAUGAUUUAUUCGACAUUUGAAACAUCCAGUUCUCUGCUCAAAUAUUUAUAACACUUCCUGGUUGCUUUGAGGCUUUUAAUAGGCCUGAAUAAAUCUGUAAGUAUUGAAAAUUUGUCAGCAAAUGGGC
rnacentral:lncRNA from 1 species